UCCAGUUGACAGAAAACAAGAAAAGGGGGGAUCUGCUGGUCUAGGCUCCUAUAAAAAGAUUUUGUAAAAAGGAGCUUUGUUAACCCAGGCAUGCCUACAUAAUCUCAUAUGCUUCUGCUUCCAGAACUUUAAAUGUUACUAUCACUUAAAUUGAAAUAAUUCCAUUUAAUACAAUUAAUUUGUCUCAGUAUAAUGUCUAAUCAGCAUUGACACCAGGGGUCAGUCAGUGUUUGGGAAGCUAUUUGCAUCAGUCCUGUACCACAGUUUAUUUCACUUUCGUUCAACAACUUUCAGAAAGAGUGAGAGAGCAUUCUUUGAUGGGCAAUGUGAUGGCAUACAUCUGAGGGUUCCUAUGAUUAAUUAAGCUUACUCUGUUGCCUUGGAGGCUACAAGUGAAAAUGAAAAGAAUAUGGAAUUCAGUAUGCUUUUUGUUGGCAUGCUGGUUACUGUAUAUACAUAUUUGUGUUCAUCAGAAUCUAUACAGACACACCUCUUCACUAGCAAAGAAAAGAUAUACCACCCCACUAUUUGUAUUCCUAGUAGCCCUGCUUAGCUUGGUAAAUUAGACAAGUGUAUAGAAAUACUGUGAAGCUAACGCCAUACCUGAGUUGAAUUGGACAUAUAAAAUACGUAUACAUCAGUUCUCAUUUUUAAAUAUUUGGAAUAUUGAUGUAUCUGUACAAUAUCUAACUUUGAUAAGAAUUAAGAUUUCUUAAAUAUAUCAUCUGUUAUCUUUCAGGGAUUGUCAAUGAGACAGAUUAGAUUCAGAUUUGAUGGACAACCCAUUAAUGAAACGGACACCCCAGCACAGUUGGAGAUGGAAGAUGAAGACACUAUCGAUGUCUUUCAACAGCAGACAGGUGGCAUGUGCUAAAUACUCUGUCAUUUUGGGAAUGUGAAAGGUCACCUCAGUUUGUCAUCUGUUCUUGGAUUUGAUAUUAAAUGGUAGACAAAUGAACAUGCCAGUCAUACAGGAAUCUUCUCAUAGUCUGAGGACACCUAUCCAAAUUCUGUUCCUGUUCCUGAUACCCUGCGUGUGCAAAUCGAAGCUGUAUCUGUGGAAAAUAACUGCAUCAUAAAAAUGGGCCCAGUUAAAAUUAAAUUUUCAAAUAAGUAAAAUAUUUGAUAUUGUUUGCUGUCAUCUUGUUCCUAUGGUGGCCUAAAUACCAACCUACUGUAAAACAAGAAUAAUUACUUCUAGCUUUUGUUGUUUUUGUUUUACUGUUUAAUUAUAGUAAUGUAAAUAUUGAAAUAUUUUUCUUUGCAAUAGUAAGGGUUUUUUUCUCAGAAUAGAUGACUUGGGAAAGAAGAGAAAAAAGUUUUACCAUUUAAUACAGUUAAUACUUUAAACCUGUUAAUGGGAUAUGCAGAAAGGGCAGUACCUUCAAAUAUAAAUCUGAACCUAGUGGCAAUUUAAGAUAAUGCAAAUGUACAUGUGCUUUUUCAUAAUAAAAUAGCAUAGAAUCAAACAGUUUUUAAAGUAAUGAAAUAUCUUGAGUUUGUCAGCUGCUGUAGCAUUUCCAUAUGUUAACGUUCACAGCUACUAUUAAAUAUCACAUGUCCAGGGUUGAGCACUAUUAUCUUUAAGCAGUGGACCAGAAACCUCUAAGAAACUUUGCUGUGCAACUCAUUCAUUUUAAUGGGACAUGUGGAAGGAAUUCUCAUCAGACAGUACCCAAUGAGAAUCAUUAUUUCUCAUUGGUUUUAGACAAUAGCUAUAUACCUUAUUUCUGUCAACACUUUUGAAAGCUGAUCUUAUAUGCUUAAUUUCCACAAUUUUCCAAUAUAGUCUGGCAUUUAAAGAGUUGUGUUCUCCAUAUGCACCAGGGUCUUCUGAUCCCUGCCUCUAGUUCAUCUUCUCUUGCAUCCUGGAGUUCUCUUCCCAUCUAAAUUUGGGUAUCCUCUGAAACAGUGUGCAGUGUGAUGCAGGUGGAACACAGCCAGAAGAUGGGUGAAUUUAGUACUCCAGAGAGUUAUUUGGAUUCUAGCUUCUGAUCCACAUUAUUCAAACUAAAGUAGGUUUUGUAUUUUAAAACGAGAAAUGUAAGUAUAUUUUUGCUCAAGCUUAAUUAUACUCUUUGAAGAGGGUGAACUUAAAACAUCUAUUAAAACCUCAUAUUCUUAAUGAGAUUUGUUGUACUGCUUCCCCCCAAAUUAGAGUUUUAACUGGAUUGAUGUAAAAACACCCAGCUUGUCAUGUUCUUGAGUAUGUCCAAGUGAAGAGUAAGGUUUAUUUGUUCAGUUUCAGUAAGCUGUUCAUUACUGUUUCAAAAGUUCAUUUUCUGCCUUUUAUAUGUAACUGUAAGAUCAUUGCCCUGGAAGAAAUCCUACUGGGAGAAAAAUCUUUUCCCCCUCAGUUAUAUAUGGGCAAAGGAGGAAUAUUCUUUUAAAUCUUUUGCUGUUUAUUCACCAAUUUGUACAAUAUUUGUCCUUUACUACUGUAUACAGUAAAUAUAGUUUGGUACUCUG